rnacentral:sRNA from 1 species
CAAUGGUCGUUUCCUAGAAUUGGGGUGAUUGAUGAUUAACCAUCAUUGAGGCUGUGUUGCCAAGCAGGCGCAGUACAUCGCCCCAGCUCAUAGUGUCAAUUAAGUAUGAGAAUGCGAGACCAGAGUGCAAGUUUGUUUUCCAUUGUUGGCUAUGCAGAAGAUUGGAAAACUGCUUUGAUUAACCAAGAAAACCUACAUGCUUAACUGCUCCAUUUGCUGAACUAACCACGUCGUGAGGCCGUGGGGCGCCUUGUGGUUUCGCCUGCAGUACACAUCGCUCUCCCAUAGAUGGCGGCAUUUCACAAACAACCUCUCCGCAGCAGCCUCCUGAUCUGUUGACAGGAUUAGGGACCCCUGUUGUUUUACAGGAAGUAAAUAAAUCCUUCUGGUAUUCUGAAAACCUCAGAAGUGUUUGCGAGUGGUAAGAAAUUGUUUAUUCUGUGGAGAAGGUAUCAAAUGAAUAUUUACAGCGUUUAAAACAAUUACCCCAGAUUGAAGUGGACCCCAGCUAAAGCCCAGCCAGUUCGCAUUAUCUAGUUUAGAGCCUGUACUGCAAACUCCAGCACAGUAAGUCUGUUUUGUCCACCGGGUUUCUGGCUGGCAUAGAUAGGAGUGAACCCAGCCUAAGAAAACAGGGCUAGAGAUGGUCUUCACUUUCUAACCAGAUGUAGAAACUAAAACAAAUUCUCAAAUCACUGUGUAAAAAAUAUAACCCAUAUGGUGGUGUAACUGCAGAGAGAAUAAACGGAGUAAAAGAUAUGCAUGUGAGGAAGAAAUAACCAAGCAGUGGGUACAUUUAAGCAAAGGGUUAAAGUCAGCUUCAAUCCACUGAAGUUCUCAGUGUUAGAUGACGUUAAACCACGAGGUGU